CAGUUAUCGUUUAUUUGAUAGUACCUUACUACUUGGAUAACCGUGGUAAUUCUAGAGCUAAUACAUGCUAAAAACCUCGACUUCGGAAGGGGUGUAUUUAUUAGAUAAAAAACCAGCGCCCUCCGGGGCUCCUUGGUGAAUCAUGAUAACUUAACGAAUCGCAUGGCCUUGCGCCGGCGAUGGUUCAUUCAAAUUUCUGCCCUAUCAACUUUCGAUGGUAGGAUAGUGGCCUACCAUGGUAUCAACGGGUAACGGGGAAUUAGGGUUCGAUUCCGGAGAGGGAGCCUGAGAAACGGCUACCACAUCCAAGGAAGGCAGCAGGCGCGCAAAUUACCCAAUCCCGAUACGGGGAGGUAGUGACAAUAAAUACUGAUACAGGGCUCUUUUGGGUCUUGUAAUUGGAAUGAGUACAAUUUAAAUCCCUUAACGAGGAACAAUUGGAGGGCAAGUCUGGUGCCAGCAGCCGCGGUAAUUCCAGCUCCAAUAGCGUAUAUUAAAGUUGUUGCAGUUAAAAAGCUCGUAGUUGAACCUUGGGCCUGGCUGGCCGGUCCGCCUUACCGCGUGUACUGGUCCGGCCGGGCCUUUCCUUCUGGGGAGCCGCAUGCCCUUCACUGGGCGUGCCGGGGAACCAGGACUUUUACUUUGAAAAAAUUAGAGUGUUCAAAGCAGGCCUUUGCUCGAAUACAUUAGCAUGGAAUAAUAGAAUAGGACGUGUGGUCUAUUCUGUUGGUUUCUAGGACCGC
rnacentral:rRNA from 1 species